rnacentral:rRNA from 1 species
ACUCAAAUGAAUAGACGGGGGCCCGCACAAGCGGCGGAGCAUGUUGCUUAAUUCGACGCAACGCGAAGAACCUUACCAAGGUUUGACAUGGGCCGUUUACCGCCGGAGACGGCGGGUCCUUCGGGGCGGUUCACAGGUGGUGCAUGGCUGUCGUCAGCUCGUGUCGUGAGAUGUUGGGUUAAGUCCCGCAACGAGCGCAACCCUUGUCCCGUGUUGCCAGCAUUCGGUUGGGGACUCACGGGAGACUGCCGGGGUCAACUCGGAGGAAGGUGGGGAUGACGUCAAGUCAUCAUGCCCCUUAUGUCUUGGGCUGCAAACAGGCUACAAUGGCCGGUACAGAGGGCUGCGAGCCCGUGAGGGUGAGCGAAUCCCGGAAAGCCGGUCUCAGUGCGGAUCGGGGUCUGCAACCCGACCCCGUGAAGUCGGAGUCGCUAGUAAUCGCGGAUCAGCAGUGCCGCGGUGAAUACGUUCCCGGGCCUUGCACACACCGCCCGU